rnacentral:rRNA from 1 species
CGCCAGGGAACUACGAGCAAUGCUUAAAACCCAAAGGACUUGACGGUGUCCCACCCACCUAGAGGAGCCUGUUCUAUAAUCGAUGAUCCCCGCUAUACCUAACCAUUCCUCGCUUUUCAGUCUGUAUACCUCCGUCGAAAGCCUACCAUGUGAACGCUUAUAGUAGGCCCAAUGAUUGUCAUCAACACGUCAGGUCAAGGUGCAGCUCACGGAACGGAAAGCAAUGGGCUACAAUUUCUAAUUUAGAACACACGAAAGACUAUGUGAAACCCUAGUCACGAAGGCGGAUUUAGUAGUAAAAGGAAAAUAGAGUGUUCCUUUUAACCUGGCC